rnacentral:pre_miRNA from 1 species
CGCCGCUACAUCUAGUUGCAUUGUGACGUCUGUUUCAGGGAAAUGCAGCAUGAUGUAGUGGUGUA